rnacentral:rRNA from 1 species
AUUGAACGCUGGCGGCAGGCCUAACACAUGCAAGUCGAACGAGUGGCGGACGGGUGAGUAAUGUCUGGGAAACUGCCCGAUGGAGGGGGAUAACUACUGGAAACGGUAGCUAAUUCCGCAUACCCUCGGAUGUGCCCAGAUGGGAUUAGCUAGUGGGGGGGGUAACGGCUCACCUAGGCGACGAUCCCUAGCUGGUCUGAGAGGAUGACCAGCCACACUGGAACUGAGACAGGGUCCAGACUCCUACGGGAGGAAGCAGUGGGGAAUAUUGCACAUGGGGCGAAAGCCUGAUGCAGCCAUGCCGGGUGUAUGAAGAGGGCCUUCGGGUUGUAAAGUACUUUCAGCGAGGAGGCGUUACUCGAAGAGGAAGCACCGGCUAACUCCGUGCCAGCAGCCGCGGUAAUUC